UACGUAGGGUGCAAGCGUUAUCCGGAUUUACUGGGUGUAAAGGGAGCGUAGGCGGUUCGGUAAGUCUGAUGUGAAAGCCCGGGGCUCAACCCCGGGACUGCAUUGGAAACUACCGAACUAGAGUGUGGGAGAGGUAAGUGGAAUUCCUAGUGUAGCGGUGAAAUGCGUAGAUAUUAGGAGGAACACCAGUGGCGAAGGCGGCUUACUGGACCAUAACUGACGCUGAGGCUCGAAAGCGUGGGGAGCAAACAGG
rnacentral:rRNA from 1 species